rnacentral:rRNA from 1 species
CCUACGGGAGGCAGCAGUGGGGAAUUUUGGACAAUGGGCGAAAGCCUGAUCCAGCAAUGCCGCGUGAGUGAAGAAGGCCUUCGGGUUGUAAAGCUCUUUUGUCAGGGAAGAAACGGUGAGAGCUAAUAUCUCUUGCUAAUGACGGUACCUGAAGAAUAAGCACCGGCUAACUACGUGCCAGCAGCCGCGGUAAUACGUAGGGUGCAAGCGUUAAUCGGAAUUACUGGGCGUAAAGCGUGCGCAGGCGGUUUUGUAAGUCUGAUGUGAAAUCCCCGGGCUCAACCUGGGAAUUGCAUUGGAGACUGCAAGGCUAGAAUCUGGCAGAGGGGGGUAGAAUUCCACGUGUAGCAGUGAAAUGCGUAGAUAUGUGGAGGAACACCGAUGGCGAAGGCAGCCCCCUGGGUCAAGAUUGACGCUCAUGCACGAAAGCGUGGGGAGCAAACAGGAUUAGAUACCCUGGUAGUCCACGCCCUAAACGAUGUCUACUAGUUGUCGGGUCUUAAUUGACUUGGUAACGCAGCUACGCGUGAGUAGACCGCCGUCGGGAGGUACGGUCGCGAGAAGUAAACGUACGAAAGAAAGUAGUACGGCGUGAGACGUAGACCGACGGACGACGACGAGGGGAGGAGGG